UUAAUAUUCCGACCACCGGGUGUAAACAUUGUGUGCCUAUCCCACUCCCUGGCUCAUAAAGCUGGAUUGCACAGAAGGCCCAUUCUGUCUCCUAAUCCUGUUAUGAAGAACAAGGGUAGUUUGAAAUAUUCGGGAUGUUGGUGCUUAUGUACAUCUGUCUGCCACACCACGAUACAUCAAAGAAAGGUCAUGAUGUUAUACAACAUUUGGAACUGAGAUUCCCCUCGGAUCUGCUACAAGAGCAGAAACAGAGUCAGACUUUUAUCAUCAAGCAUCCAUACAACGAUCCAAAUGAAUAAAGAUGCUAUGCGAGGAACAAAAAAGAGGCAGAAUGUUUUCCCGAAAGAGAGGGCUUUUCAGAUGUGCUCUGUAAUUUGUCAUCCAGAGGAAAGAGUGUAUCAUCACUGCUUUAAAAAAAUAAAUGAAUUACAUCGCCUUGAUGCACAGCAGGCUCACAGAUUUCACAGAGCCUUUGUAUUGAACAUAUGCUUGCUUUCUGUUGUCUCCUCACAUAUUAUUCUAGGCAUCCAGGAGAUAAAACAGGCAAGAAAGCAGCGGACGUCACGGCAAAUAGCUUGAUAGGUCACUUCACUUGUAAGACACAAAGUCAGAAACCCACUUCCCAGACAGGAAAUUAAAUACUCAUAAGGAACCCACCAACCCAUGCCACAGUCGGACUUCCUAAGACUUUCUUCCUCAUUACCACUUCCUUUUCCAAAGCAUUUCCUUCCCCAGAUGACCUGGUGAUAUCAGAUGAUUAUUAAAAGAAAAAAGAUGUUUAGCUAAACAUACCCUGAUGUUACGGAAAUCACAUGUAAAUCUUCACAGCACGUAGAAGAUACUUCCUUCUCUUCUCUCCAGAAAAGCCUCUCAAUUAAUAUAGCUUUAUCUGUGAGUAUUAACAUUCGUACAUUUUCUUUGGUAUCACGAACCAGAAGCCUGGGGUUAUUUUGCUAACAAGCCACUCGUGUUUCGUCAGUCUUCCCCCUGUGUGCCUAGCUCUGCUCCCAACCUUAUCAUUUCUGUAUACACGAAUGCUAACCAUAUUAUUUUUAUCUUUUGUCACUUUUGCUAUUUUAUUUU